UCCUAUUAGACAAGGAGCGCACUACCGUGCGAAAAGGACAGACAUACGUGACGUCACAGACAAGAAAAGUUAUAUUGUGCGACAAGGAUAGACGUACUUCUCCUUCUAAUUUCACGGUUAUUUGUUAAUUACGCUUUUCCCUGGUAAAAUUCAUGAAUUUUCACAUUCUGAACCGUCUAGGAAAUUCGUUUGAUGUCCAGUCUUUGUCCCGCGGUUCUAAAAUCGUCUAAAUUUUUCGCAAAAAAUGCUGUGAUCGAUGAAUAUUCCGUAGGAUUGGAGAGAGAAGUAUAUCUGUCCUCGUCGCGCAAUAUAGUGCUCCUUGUCGCACUAACAGCCACUGAUACUUGCUUGUACGUUCUGCGUUCUUGUUAACGUUUUUCGAUUUUUAACGAAAAGUUGUGCUCUCGCUAGAUGACUGCAGUUUCAGUAGCGUGUUUAUCACUUUGCCUACCCGAUGCAUAACCUAACCUAUACUCACGUUCGAUUACGAUCGAUUUCAAUUACUUGAUAUUUUGUUGCUUCUAUUAAUUUAUAUCGGCGAUUUAUUCAAUUAAACGUCAACCAGUUACAGCUACCUUUGAAGGUUAAUUGGCGGCUACUACCAGCAGCGACAAGUUAAACAAUCGUAAACAAUGGUAUCACAGGGAUUUAUACGAUAUUUCAUUAGAAUAGCAAGUCGUUUCUUCACAAACAUCUAGGAAAUUUAAAUUGUACCAUUGAACGUAUUUAUAGUGGGUGGAGACGAUCGUAGUACAACUGGGUAGAAAAUGAUCCUACGUGAAGAAAAUAAGCCGAAGAUACAGAAUAAAAUUUUGUCGUACGAAACAAAUGUUAUAGACUGUAGCAGAGAAAAUAUUUGGCAAGCUUUUCGCUCGUUCGUUCUACGUACAAGCGUAGAUUCGCAAGCAGGUCGAGAGAUUGCAGCUGACGUGGGUCGUGACGUGGAUCGACGAAUAGGAAAAUAAUUGGAAAAGCGUAGCCGCGUAUUCUCGCAACUUGCUCGUGCGUACGAGACGAACACGUGACCCUUUAUGUUAAUACGUCUACGAUGAUAAAGAAACUUCUGGUCGUUAAUUUAAUGGCGCGAUACGCAUAGUUCGGGCGAACAUGACCAUGUCGAAUCGUAAAUCUUGUUAGCCAGUCGUAGCGAAAUUCCAAGCGUAUGAAUAUUUAAUUUCGCGUACGUUCAUUGCAACGGAAGCAAUCUGUAGCACUGGACUGGAUGCUCCUGUUGCUUAGGCGAACGCAGGAGAAACGAACGGAGAAUAGAAUGCAAUUCACAGGCAAAACUGAUUUUUACGGUUGCACUUGUUUUAACGUAUGUGCGAGGAUGAAAAACAGUAGUAGAAACUGUAGCAAGAACGUUCUAAGGUUCUUUCUAAACUCUGCACGGUUAAUUGAAUUCCGAAACUUCUCUAAUUAACUACAAUUAAUCGUAUUUUCGAGCAAUAAUUUAUUAAUAAUCAAUACGAAGAAAAACAUAAAUUUUCUAAAUAUUAAUGUUGAAAUACUUACUCCAAGAAAAACUCUGUACCUUAUCUUUUGUAUAUCCAUGACCUGUUUCGAAGAGAAUAGAAUGUAGUGAACAAAAUUCAAAAUAAAGAGAGGUGCAUAUUGUUGUGCCCUUAAAUAUGAAUUAUGUAUUGGGUUACAAGGUCUAGAAACAAAAGAGCUAUAAGUAGAUUUCUAUUGCUGUUUCUUGUAGCCUUCAGCUAGAGCUACACACCAAGGCUAACUUCUUGCUAAUGUCCUUUGCUACAAAUAUAUGAACGUGCUCCCUAUCAUAGCUUCUUCUAUUGUAUUGCAACAUUGCAAGAGCUGCAUCAAGCAAGAUCUGCGUCAGCAUACACUAUGUACCUAUGCUUAUUUCAAUAUAUUUUUCUAUUACAAAUUCA